rnacentral:misc_RNA from 1 species
UCACUACUUGCGUAGGCAGUCUUCUUAGAGUGCUCAGCAUUACCUGAUGGCAACUAAGAACGAGGGUUGCGCUCGUUGCGGGACUUAACCCAACACCUCACGGCACGAGCUGACGACAGCCAUGCAGCACCUGUACAAGCUCACCUUGCGGUACCCCGACUUUCAUCAGGAUUAGCUUGCAUUUCAAGCCUAGGUAAGGUUCUUCGCGUUGCGUCGAAUUAAACCACAUGCUCCACCGCUUGUGCGGGCCCCCGUCAAUUCCUUUGAGUUUCAGCCUUGCGGCCGUACUCCCCAGGCGGGGCACUUAAUGCGUUAGCGCCGGCACCCAGGGGGUCGCUCCCCCAGGCACCUAGUGCCCAUCGUUUACGGCGUGGACUAC